AACACGCAAGCUGAGAACUUGGAAAGACCAUUGCAGAGAAAAUCCAUGAAAAGUAAUGGGAAUUUGACUCCAAGAAAGUCCAUAAAAUGUAAUGGUAACUAGACUCCUCCUAAACGUGGCAAGGUUCGAAAUUCUGCUUCUUCAACAGUCCGAAUGACUCCAGGAUCAACUUCUUUCACUAUCAGGAAGAAUAAAAAAAGUGAUGCCAAAUUUAACCAAGUUUUAUAGUGGCAAGAAAAUUGGCGAGCAUCCAUGAGAGCUUAUCUAUGCUUGAUGUUUAAGGUCCUUAGAAAUAGCAUUGAGAUUCAGUUGGAAAAAGAAUUGCUGCAUAGAUUGAGUGUUCCAAGCUAACAGUUUCCCUUAUUGUUUUUGUAAUUGGUGCUUUGUCUUCCGAGUUUCAACAGUAUUACUUUCAUGCGCUUGCUUAGUCGCUUGGACCUCCAGGUUGAGGGCGUGAGGCAUUCAUGUAUGGUAAACUGCAACCUGUGAACGAGUCAUUUUCUCAAUUUUAAGCAUUAGACAUAUGAAAAUGUAAGGAGAAAAGGGUCAACCCCUGACGAGUUGUGCGAAUUUUCUUAAUAUCAUUAAUUUUUGUUUGCCAAGGGCUUUACUUGGUGUUAUUCG
rnacentral:misc_RNA from 1 species